UACGUAGGGUGCAAGCGUUGUCCGGAAUUAUUGGGCGUAAAGAGCUCGUAGGCGGUCUGUCGCGUCGGAUGUGAAAAUCAGGGCUCAACCCUGGACCUGCAUUCGAUACGGGCAGACUAGAGUUCGGCAGGGGAGACUGGAAUUCCUGGUGUAGCGGUGAAAUGCGCAGAUAUCAGGAGGAACACCGGUGGCGAAGGCGGGUCUCGUGGGCCGAUGACUGACGCUGAGGAGCGAAAGCGUGGGGAGCGAACAGGA
rnacentral:rRNA from 1 species